UACGGAGGGUGCGAGCGUUGUCCGGAAUCAUUGGGCGUAAAGGGCGCGUAGGUGGCCCGGUCAGCGUGCGGUGAAAGCUCGGGGCUCAACCCCGAGUCGGCCGUGCGAACUGCUGGGCUUGAGCACUGUAGAGGCAGGCGGAAUUCCGGGUGUAGCGGUGGAAUGCGUAGAGAUCCGGAAGAACACCGGUGGCGAAGGCGGCCUGCUGGGCUGUUGCUGACGCUGAGGCGCGACAGCGUGGGGAGCAAACAGG
rnacentral:rRNA from 1 species